rnacentral:misc_RNA from 1 species
UGUGGGAGCGGGCUUGCCCGCGAUAGCGGUUGUUCAGUCAGAAAAUCUGCUGAAUGUUAGUCCGUCAUCGCGGGCAAGCCCGCUCCCACA